ACGGCUGCUCAGUGCGCGUGGACAACCUGCCCUCGGGUGGGGGAUAACCCCGGGAAACUGGGGCUAAUCCCCCAUAGGUGAUGGGUGCUGGAAUGCCCCAUCUCCGAAAGCGCUUAGCGCCCGAGGAUGGGUCUGCGGCGGAUUAGGUAGUUGGUGGGGUAACGGCCCACCAAGCCUAAGAUCCGUACGGGCUGUGGGAGCAGGAGCCCGGAGAUGGACCCUGAGACAAGGGUCCAGGCCCUACGGGGCGCAGCAGGCGCGAAACCUCCGCAAUGCGGGAAACCGCGACGGGGUUAGCCGGAGUGCCCGUGCAUUGCACGGGCUGUCGGGGUGCCUAAACAGCACCCCAUAGCAAGGGCCGGGCAAGGCCGGUGGCAGCCGCCGCGGUAAGACCGGCGGCCCGAGUGGCGGCCACUCUUAUUGGGCCUAAAGCGUCCGUAGCCGGCCCAGUAAGUCCCCCGGGUAAUCUGGUCGCUUAACGAUCAGACUUCCGGGGGAUACUGCUGGGCUAGGGACCGGGAGAGGCCGAGGGUAUUCCCGGGGUAGGGGUGAAAUCCUGUAAUCCCGGGAGGACCACCUGUGGCGAAGGCGCUCGGCUGGAACGGGUCCGACGGUGAGGGACGAAGGCCUGGGGAGCGAACCGGAUUAGAUACCCGGGUAGUCCAGGCUGUAAACGAUGCGGGCUAGGUGUCACCGGAGCUACGAGCUCCGGUGGUGCCGGAGGGAAGCCGUUAAGCCCGCCGCCUGGGAAGUACGGCCGCAAGGCUGAUACUUAUAGGAAUUGGCGGGGGAGCAGG
rnacentral:rRNA from 1 species